rnacentral:pre_miRNA from 9 species
UCUCGAUAGCGUAAAAGUUAACUCAUGUUUGAAUUGUGUUGAAACGGUUGCCUACGUUUGCCGCUAGGGGCGCUGUUCCAACUCCAUACAAAUUUGAGUUAACUUUUACGCGAUCGA